rnacentral:rRNA from 1 species
CAAUAGUGUAUAUUAAAGUUGUUGCAGUUAAAAAGCUCGUAGUUGGAUUUCUGGUUGAAGCGACCGGUCGGGCGUUGAUUCGUCUGCACUGGAGUCGGUUUUGGCCAUCCUCUAGGAAAGUGCGUCUGGUAUUAAGUUAUCGGGCGUAUGAUCCUGGUCUUUUACUGUGAAAAAAUUAGAGUGUUUAAAGCAGGCCUUCGCCUUGAAUACAUUAGCAUGGAAUAAUAAGAUAGGACUUUGGUCUAUUUUGUUGGUUUGCAGACCGAAGUAAUGAUUAAUAGGGAUAGUUGGGGGUAUUUAUAUUCCGAUGUCAGAGGUGAAAUUCUUAGAUUUUCGGAAGAUAAACUUAUGCGAAAGCAUUUACCAAGGAUGUUUNCAUUAA